UACAGAGGGGGCAAGCGUUGUUCGGAAUUACUGGGCGUAAAGGGCGCGUAGGCGGCCUGUUAAGUCGGACGUGAAAUCCCCGGGCUCAACCCGGGAACUGCGUCCGAUACUGGCAGGCUUGAAUCCGGGAGAGGGAUGUGGAAUUCCAGGUGUAGCGGUGAAAUGCGUAGAUAUCUGGAGGAACACCGGUGGCGAAGGCGGCAUCCUGGACCGGUAUUGACGCUGAGGCGCGAAAGCCAGGGGAGCAAGCGGG
rnacentral:rRNA from 1 species